rnacentral:lncRNA from 1 species
AGAAGAUGAUCAUAAUGUCUUGGGAAAGACAGGUUUCGUCCAUGGUCACAAGGUUAAUGAUGAGAAGACUGCAGCAAAGGUCAAGUACAAUCAGCUACGCAAACGGAUGCAAGAGUGUGAAAGUGGCACCAUAGGCAUACUCAACAAGAUCUAAGGGUCCUCCUCCUCCUCCUUCUCCUCUGAGUCCCCCCAGAAACAGGAACAAAGGAAAGAUGGGAGAUAAUGAAGCAAAAAAGAAAAUUGAAGGGACUUCUCAAGGUACCCCAAUCACCAAAGAGACUGCUGCUCAUUUGGAGAAAACUUUGCUAAGGUUUCGAGAGGAACUAGACUAGGUCCGGAGUUUGGCAAGUUUGUCCAUCUCCCUUUCUGCUGUAGAU